GUCCAUCAUUCAGUUGGGCACUCUAGCGAGACUGCCGGUAAUAAACCGGAGGAAGGUGGGGAGUGACGUCAAAUCAUCAUGCCCCUUAUGACCUGGGCUACACACGUGCUACAAUGGUUGGUACAACGAGUUGCGAGUCGGUGACGGCGAGCUAAUCUCUUAAAGCCAAUCUCAGUUCGGAUUGUAGGCUGCAACUCGCCUACAUGAAGUCGGAAUCGCUAGUAAUCGCGGAUCAGCACGCCGCGGUGAAUACGUUCCCGGGCCUU
rnacentral:rRNA from 1 species